rnacentral:rRNA from 1 species
UACGUAGGGAGCAAGCGUUGUCCGGAAUCAUUGGGCGUAAAGCGCGCGUAGGUGGCCUCAUAAGUCCGCUGUGAAAGUCAAAGGCUCAACCUUUGAAAGCCGGUGGAUACUGUGGGGCUAGAGUACGGAAGAGGCGAGUGGAAUUCCUGGUGUAGCGGUGAAAUGCGCAGAUAUCAGGAGGAACACCAAUUGCGAAGGCAGCUCGCUGGGACGUUACUGACGCUGAGACGCGAAAGCGUGGGGAGCAAACAGG